rnacentral:tRNA from 1 species
UGGCGCAAUUGGUUAGCGCGUCUGACUGUUAAUCAGGAGGUUGCUAGUUCAAGCCUAG